AAGGUGAUGAUGGAAUUGGUAGACAUUAACAGUUUAGGUCUGUUUGAUAUUUAUUUAUCGUACCCGUUCAAGUCGGGUUCACCUUA